GAUGAACGCUAGCGGCAGGCCUAAUACAUGCAAGUCGAGGGGUAUCCCGCUUUCGGGCGGGAGAGACCGGCGCACGGGUGCGUAACGCGUAUGCAACCUACCCAUAUCUGGGGGAUAGCCCGGAGAAAUCCGGAUUAACACCGCAUAAAAUCACAGUACGGCAUCGUACAAUGAUCAAAUAUUGAUAGGAUAUGGAUGGGCAUGCGUGUCAUUAGCUGGUUGGCGGGGUAACGGCCCACCAAGGCGACGAUGACUAGGGGAUCUGAGAGGAUGGCCCCCCACACUGGUACUGAGACACGGACCAGACUCCUACGGGAGGCAGCAGUAAGGAAUAUUGGUCAAUGGGCGGAAGCCUGAACCAGCCAUGCCGCGUGCAGGAAGACGGCCCUCUGGGUUGUAAACUGCUUUUAUUCGGGAAUAAACCUGCAUACGUGUAUGCAGCUGAACGUACCGAAGGAAUAAGGAUCGGCUAACUCCGUGCCAGCAGCCGCGGUAA
rnacentral:rRNA from 1 species